GACGAACGCUGGCGGCGUGCUUAACACAUGCAAGUCGAACGGAAAGGCCUCUUUCGGGGGGUACUCGAGUGGCGAACGGGUGAGUAACACGUGAGUAACCUGCCCUUGACUUUGGGAUAACUUCAGGAAACUGGGGCUAAUACCGGACAGGAGCUCCUGCUGCAUGGUGGGGGUUGGAAAGUUUCGGCGGUUGGGGAUGGACUCGCGGCGUAUCAGCUUGUUGGUGGGGUAGUGGCUUACCAAGGCUUUGACGGGUAGCCGGCCUGAGAGGGUGACCGGCGACAUUGAGACUGAGAGACGGCCCAGACUCCUACGGGAGGGAGCAGUGGGGAAGAUUGCACAAUGGGUGGAAGCCUGAUGCAGCAACGCCGUGUGCGGGAUGACGGCCUUCGGGUUGUAAACCGCUUUCGCUCAUGACGAAGCUUUGUGUGACGGUAGUGGGUAAAGAAGCACCGGCUAACUACGUG
rnacentral:rRNA from 1 species